GUGCUUGCUUCAGCAACACUAUAAAAGUGGAACAAUACAGAGAAGAUUAGCAUUGCCCCUGUGCAAGGAUGACACUCCUUGAUAUAUAUCCAAAGGACUU
ensembl:snRNA U6 U6 spliceosomal RNA